CAUGUGCCUGCCAGAGUUUGCUGACUGCUGGGAAGAGUUUGUGGACCUCCAGGGAGAGCUGGGGGGAAGCCGGUCGGCACAGUGGUCAGUAAACAGAAGGCUUGGAGUGUCCUGAAGUCCUGGCGUGCGGAUGUUCUAAAGGAUGUCUUCAGAAAUUUGCAAACUGG